rnacentral:rRNA from 1 species
AUACGGAGGGUGCAAGCGUUGUUCGGAUUUAUUGGGCGUAAAGCGAGUGUAGGCGGCUUAGCAAGUCGGAUGUGAAAUCCCAGGGCCCAACCCUGGAACUGCAUCCGAUACUGUUAGGCUAGAGUUCCGGAGAGGGUGGCGGAAUUCCCGGUGUAGGGGUGAAAUCCGUAGAUAUCGGGAGGAACACCAGUGGCGAAGGCGGCCACCUGGACGGUGACUGACGCUGAGACUCGAAAGCGUGGGUAGCAAACAGGAUUAGAAACCCCGGUAGUCC